CUCUCUCUUGUUCUUGCUUUCUUUCUCUUGCUUUCUUGUUCUUGUUCUUUUUCUCUCUCUUGCUCUUGCUCUUGCACUCUUGCUCUCUUGCUCUCUGGCUCCUGAAGAUGUAAGCAAUAAAGCUUUUGCCGCAGAAGAUUCUGGUUUGUUGCGUCUUUCCUGGCCGGUCGCGUGAACGCGGGUAAGAGUUGGUGCUGAGACCCGGGACGGGACGAGAAGACCCGGGACGAGAAGACCCAGGACGAGAAAACCUGGGACGGGACGAGAAGACCUGGGACGAGAAAUCCUGAGACGAGAAAACCUGGGACGGUUACCAUCACCGGCGCAAGGAAGAUCCCUCAUUCCGGAACCAGAACUGCGGGUCACGGUAAUGGAGUGUUCCCGUAAAACAGACUGUUGAGAAGGAUUCAACUGCGUGAAUUCAGAACUCUUCAGCUGGGGAAUGGUGGUAAUGAAGUGUUCCCGUAAAACAGACUGUUGAGAAGGAUCCAGUGUGGAUUCAGAACUCUUCAGCUGGGGAAUGGUGGUAAUGAAGUGUUCCCGUAACACAGACUGUUGAGAAGGAUUCAACUGCGUGAAUUCAGAACUCUUCAGCUGGGGAACAGGGUACCCGUAAGUAUAGCUUUACAAGGUAAGUCUGGUCUUGAACUUUCUAACGAAAUUCAAGACAGUCUAUCAGAAGUAAAGUGGGAAAUAGCUUUACAAGGUAAGUCUGGUCUUGAACUUUCUAACGAAAUUCAAGACAGUCUAUCAGAAGUAAAGUGGGAAAUAGCUUUACAAGGUAAGUCUGGUCUUGAACUUUCUAACGAAAUUCAAGACAGUCUAUCAGAAGUAAAGUGGGAAAUAGCUUUACAAGGUAUGUCUGGCCUUGAACUUUCUAACGAAAUUCAAGACAGUCUAUCAGAAGUAAAGUGGGAAAUAGCUUUACAAGGUAUGUUUGGCC
rnacentral:lncRNA from 1 species